AGCCCAACAACUUCUAUCUCAAUCUCCUUGCGGUACUGGCUGGAGUACGAGCAACUUUAGGGAAGA
rnacentral:ribozyme from 1 species